rnacentral:rRNA from 1 species
UACGGAGGGGGCGAGCGUUGUUCGGAUUUACUGGGCGUAAAGGGUGUGUAGGCGGCUGCGCAAGUCUGGUGUGAAAUCUUCACCGCUUAACGGGAAGCGUGCACUGGAAACUGCGCAGCUCGAGUAUGGUAGAGGCAAGCGGAAUUCCUGGUGUAGCGGUGGAAUGUGUAGAUAUCAGGAAGAACACCGGUGGCGAAGGCGGCUUGCUGGGCCAUCACUGACGCUGAGACACGAAAGCGUGGGGAGCAAACGGGAUUAGAUACCCCGGUAGUCCACGCGGUAAACGGUGCGCACUAGGUGUGAGGGGUAUCGACCCCCCUUGUGCCGAAGCAAACGCAUUAAGUGCGCCGCCUGGGGAGUACGGCCGCAAGGUUGAA